GUCAUUUAGACUUUCUUCCUUUGACUGCAGGUGGGAUACCUUACCCAUCAAAUAAGCACCUGCCAGAAAGGAGCAGAGGAAGACACGGACUCAUCAGCUCUCAAGUAGCUUGUGCUCUAACUGCUCUGGCCUGCUUCCAGACAGGCCUGUCAUACCCUGGCCACGCUCACGUGUCUGCACUACAAGAUAGUUCGGAUCCCACUCGGAGGUGAAGGCUUGGCUCCAGUGCUGCCUCAUUUGGGACACCUCUCUUGACCCAUGAAUGUGAGCUCAGUGAGGGCAGUGACCUUUUCCAUCAGUGGCCCAUACACAACACGAAUCUGUAGGGCGAAUGAAUGCAGAGCUUUAUACCACCUGUGCCACCUCUGACACCGAAGGGGGCUGU
rnacentral:lncRNA from 1 species